CGAUAAUACAGUGAUCCACAGAUACUGUGCGAAGGAUUCACAUUUUUUUCAUCAUUUAUUAUGUAAAAACUACGAGGAAAAUAAAAAAAAUAAAAAUCGAUCUCCCGAUGCGUCUGUAACUAUAGAUCGAAAAUUCAACAUGAAAGUUCCGAUACAAUUUCCAGUUGCCAAGUUCACAUAGAUAACAUCUAUACGAAACCAUUAUGGUAAAACCAAC